UACGGAGGGUGCAAGCGUUAUCCGGAUUCACUGGGUUUAAAGGGUGCGUAGGUGGCUUUGUAAGUCAGUGGUGAAAGCCCGGAGCUCAACUCCGGAAUUGCCUUUAAAACUGCAUCGCUAGAAUUGUGGAGAGGUAAGUGGAAUUCCGAGUGUAGAGGUGAAAUUCGUAGAUAUUCGGAAGAACACCAGUGGCGAAGGCGACUUACUGGACACAUAUUGACGCUGAGGUGCGAAAGCGUGGGGGAGCAAACAGG
rnacentral:rRNA from 1 species